AUCCUGGCUCAGGAUGAACGCUGGCGGCGUGCUUAACACAUGCAAGUCGAACGGAGGACCCUUGACGGAGUUUUCGGACAACAGAUAGGAAUCCUUAGUGGCGGACGGGUGAGUAACGCGUGAGGAACCUGCCUUGGAGAGGGGAAUAACACAGAGAAAUUUGUGCUAAUACCGCAUGAUGCAGUUGGGUCGCAUGGCUCUGACUGCCAAAGAUUUAUCGCUCUGAGAUGGCCUCGCGUCUGAUUAGCUUGUUGGCGGGGUAACGGCCCACCAAGGCGACGAUCAGUAGCCGGACUGAGAGGUUGGCCGGCCACAUUGGGACUGAGACACGGCCCAGACUCCUACGGGAGGCAGCAGUGGGGAAUAUUGGGCAAUGGGCGCAAGCCUGACCCAGCAACGCCGCGUGAAGGAAGAAGGCUUUCGGGUUGUAAACUUCUUUUAUGUGGGACGAAACAAAUGACGGUACCACAUGAAUAAGCUCCGGCUAACUACGUGCC
rnacentral:rRNA from 1 species